CUUUUCGAGGUAGGAGUCGACUCCUGUGAGGUAUGGUGCUGGGUGCAGAUGCAGUGUGGCUCUGGAUAGCACCUUAUGGACAGUUGUGUCCCCAAGGAAGGAUGAGAAUAGCUACUGAAGUCCUAAAGAGCAAGCCUAACUCAAGCCAUUGGCACACAGGCAUUAGACAGAAAGCUGGAAGUUGAAAUGGUGGAGUCCAACUUGCCUGGACCAGCUUAAUGGUUCUGUCCUCAUUUGUAUUCCAGCUCCUGGUAACGUUUUUAUCCAUGGAUGACUUGCUUGGGUAAGGACAUGAAGACAGUUCCUGUCAUACCUUUUAAAGGUAUGGAGAGUCGGCUUGACUACACUGUGUGGAGCAAGUUUUAAAGAAGCAAAGGACUCAGAAUUCAUGAUUGAAGAAAUGCAGGCAGACCUGUUAUCCUAAACUAGGGUUUUUAAUGACCACAACAAGCAAGCAUGCAGCUUACUGCUUGAAAGGGUCUUGCCUCACCCAAGCUAGAGUGCAGUGGCCUUUGAAGCUUACUACAGCCUCAAACUUCUGGGCUCAAGUGAUCCUCAGCCUCCCAGUGGUCUUUGUAGACUGCCUGAUGGAGUCUCAUGGCACAAGAAGAUUAAAACAGUGUCUCCAAUUUUAAUAAAUUUUUGCAAUCCA
rnacentral:lncRNA from 10 species